UCCUUCACCACUGUCUGGAUGAUUUAUAGCAAGUUCAAAGCUCCCUAGGGUGGGAACCGUGACACGGUUCGAGUGGAAUUCCUUGUUUUUCCCACGGCCGUCCUUGCAUUCCUGGUCAACCAUGACUGCACCCCUCUCGAGAUCCUCUGGACCUUCCCCAUCUACCUGGAGUCCGUGGCCAUACUGUCGGAGCUGUUCAUGGUGAGCAAGACCAGCGAGGUAGAGACCAUCACCAGCUACUACCUGCGCUGGGCGUCUACCGCGCGCUCUAUCUCUUCAACUGGAUGUGGCGCUGCCACUUGGAAGGCUUCUUCGACCUCAUCGCCAUCGUGGCUGGGCUGGUCCAGACAGUCCUCUAUUGCGAUUUCUGCUACCUCUACAUCACCGAAGUCCUCAAGGGGAAGAAGCUGAGUUUGCCUGCAUAGCCCUGGUCCCGCUUCCCGCUCCUCCUUGGCGGCAGUGAAGGCAGUAAUAGAAGCAGAGGAAGGUGACACAAGUCAGCGCCUUCCAUCCAGGAGUGACUUUUUAAAGAACCCGCCUCUCCCCGCUCCCCAGGCCUGCUUCUGCCUGG